rnacentral:misc_RNA from 1 species
GAUGAAGAACGUAGCGAAAUGCGAUACGUAAUGUGAAUUGCAAAUUCAGUGAAUCAUCGAGUCUUUGAACGCACAUUGCGCCCCCUGGUAUUCCGGGGGGCAUGCCUGUCCGAGCGUCAUUGCUGCCCUCAAGCACGGCUUGUGUGUUGGGCCCCGUCCUCCGAUCCCGGGGGACGGGCCCGAAAGGCAGCGGCGGCACCGCGUCCGGUCCUCGAGCGUAUGGGGCUUUGUCACCCGCUCUGUAGGCCCGGCCGGCGCAUGCCGAUCAACCCAAAUUUUUAUCCAGGUUGACCUCGGAUCAGGUAGGGAUACCCGCUGAACUUAAGCAUAUCAAUAAGCGGAGGA